AGUGAACGCUGGCGGUAGGCCUAACACAUGCAAGUCGAACGGCAGCACAGUAAGAGCUUGCUCUUACGGGUGGCGAGUGGCGGACGGGUGAGGAAUACAUCGGAAUCUACUUUUUCGUGGGGGAUAACGUAGGGAAACUUACGCUAAUACCGCAUACGACCUACGGGUGAAAGCAGGGGAUCUUCGGACCUUGCGCGAUUGAAUGGGCCGAUGUCGGAUUAACUAGUUGGCGGGGUAAAGGCCCACCAAGGCGACGAUCCGUAGCUGGUCUGAGAGGAUGAUCAGCCACACUGGAACUGAGACACGGUCCAGACUCCUACGGGAGGCAGCAGUGGGGAAUAUUGGACAAUGGGCGCAAGCCUGAUCCAGCCAUACCGCGUGGGUGAAGAAGGCCUUCGGGUUGUAAAGCCCUUUUGUUGGGAAAGAAAAGCAGCAGGUUAAUACCCCGCUGUUCUGACGGUACCCAAAGAAUAAGCACCGGCUAACUUCGUG
rnacentral:rRNA from 1 species